CAACCGGGAUUGCCUUAGUAACGGCGAGUGAAGCGGCAAAAGCUCAAAUUUGAAAUCUGGUACCUUCGGUGCCCGAGUUGUAAUUUGGAGAGGGCAACUUUGGGGCCGUUCCUUGUCUAUGUUCCUUGGAACAGGACGUCAUAGAGGGUGAGAAUCCCGUGUGGCGAGGAGUGCGGUUCUUUGUAAAGUGCCUUCGAAGAGUCGAGUUGUUUGGGAAUGCAGCUCUAAGUGGGUGGUAAAUUCCAUCUAAAGCUAAAUAUUGGCGAGAGACCGAUAGCGAACAAGUACAGUGAUGGAAAGAUGAAAAGAACUUUGAAAAGAGAGUGAAAAAGUACGUGAAAUUGUUGAAAGGGAAGGGCAUUUGAUCAGACAUGGUGUUUUGUGCCCUCUGCUCCUUGUGGGUAGGGGAAUCUCGCAUUUCACUGGGCCAGCAUCAGUUUUGGUGGCAGGAUAAAUCCAUAGGAAUGUAGCUUGCCUCGGUAAGUAUUAUAGCCUGUGGGAAUACUGCCAGCUGGGACUGAGGACUGCGACGUAAGUCAAGGAUGCUGGCAUAAUGGUUAUAUGCCGCCCGUCUUGAAACACGGACCAAGGAGUCUAACGUCUAUGCGAGUGUUUGGGUGUAAAACCCAUACGCGUAAUGAAAGUGAACGUAGGUUGGGGCCUCCGCAAGAGGUGCACAAUCGACCGAUCCUGAUGUCUUCGGAUGGAUUUGAGUAAGAGCAUAGCUGUUGGGACCCGAAAGAUGGUGAACUAUGCCUGAAUAGGGUGAAGCCAGAGGAAACUCUGGUGGAGGCUCGUAGCGGUUCUGACGUGCAAAUCGAUCGUCGAAUUUGGGUAUAGGGGCGAAAGACUAAUCGAACCAUCUAGUAGCUGGUUCCUGCCGAAUUUCC
rnacentral:rRNA from 1 species